rnacentral:snRNA from 1 species
GUGAUCUCUUCAGCAGCACAUAUACUAAAACAGGAACGAUACAGAGAAGAUUAGCAUGGCCCCUGUGCAAGGAUGACACGCAAACUCGUGACGUGUUCCAUACUUUA